rnacentral:rRNA from 1 species
GAUGAACGCUGGCGGUGUGCCUAAUACAUGCAAGUCGUACGCAUUCUCGUUUCUGAUUGACGGUGCUUGCACCUAAUUGACGAGACAUUGGAAUGAGUGGCGGACGGGUGAGUAACACGUGGGUAACCUGCCCAGAAGUGGGGGAUAACAUUUGGAAACAGAUGCUAAUACCGCAUAAUCACAGAAACCACAUGGUUUCUGUGUCAAAGAUGGUUUCGGCUAUCACUUUGGGAUGGACCCGCGGCGUAUUAGCUAGUUGGUAAGGUAAUGGCUGACCAAGGCAAUGAUACGUAGCCGAACUGAGAAGUUGAUCGGCCACAUUGGGACUGAGACACGGCCCAAACUCCUACGGGAGGCAGCAGUAGGGAAUCUUCCACAAUGGGCGCAAGCCUGAUGGAGCAACACCGCGUGAGUGAAGAAGGGUUUCGGCUCGUAAAACUCUGUUGUUAAAGAAGAACGUAUCUAAGAGUAACUGCUUAGGUAGUGACGGUAUUUAACCAGAAAGCCACGGCUAACUACGUGCCAGCCGCCGCUGUAA